UACGUAGGUGGCAAGCGUUGUCCGGAUUUACUGGGCGUAAAGAGCGCGCAGGCGGUCGUAUAAGUCGCGUGUGAAAGCCCCCGGCUCAACUGGGGAGGGUCACGCGAUACUGUUCGACUCGAAGGCAGGAGAGGGAAGUGGAAUUCCCGGUGUAGUGGUGAAAUGCGUAGAUAUCGGGAGGAACACCAGUGGCGAAGGCGACUUCCUGGCCUGUUCUUGACGCUGAGGCGCGAAAGCUAGGGUAGCAAACGGG
rnacentral:rRNA from 1 species